GUUGAAAUACCAGUUCUUGUUCGAUCACCGAAGUUAAGCAACGUCGAGCCUGGUUAGUAUCUAAAUGAGUGACCGCUUUGGAAUACGAGGCGCUGUAAU